rnacentral:rRNA from 1 species
AUUGAACGCUGGCGGCAGGCCUAACACAUGCAAGUCUACCGAGCGGCGGACGGGUGACUAACGUCUGAGGAACUGCCUGAUGGAGGGGGAUUUCUUCUGGACCCGGUAACUAAUCUCGCAUCCCAUCAGCUGUGCCCUGAGGGGAUUAGGUAGUAGGAGGGGUAACGGCUCACCUAGGCGACGAUCCCUAGCUGGUCUGAGAGGAUGACGAGAACAACUGGAACGGAGACACGGUCCAGACGCAUACGGGAGGCAGCAGUGGGGAAUAUUGCACAAUGGGCGCAAGCCUUAUGCAGCCAUGCCGAGUGUGUGAAGAAGGCCUUCGGGUUGUAAAGCAAUUGCAGAGGGGAGGCGUUACCCGCAGAAGAAGCACCGGCUAACUCCGUGCCAGCAGCCGCGGUAAUUC